UACGUAGGGUGCAAGCGUUAAUCGGAAUUACUGGGCGUAAAGCGUGCGCAGGCGGUUUUGUAAGUCUGAUGUGAAAUCCCCGGGCUCAACCUGGGAAUUGCAUUGGAGACUGCAAGGCUAGAAUCAGGCAGAGGGGGGUAGAAUUCCACGUGUAGCAGUGAAAUGCGUAGAGAUGUGGAGGAACACCGAUGGCGAAGGCAGCCCCCUGGGUCAAGAUUGACGCUCAUGCACGAAAGCGUGGGGAGCAAACAGG
rnacentral:rRNA from 1 species